AAUCUGGAUACUCAAAGCUUCCUUUCUACAGAAAUUCGAAGGGUGACAGUUCCAUCUCUUAAAUACACCAAAACUUCAUUUGAGAUGAGGAUAAGAAUUUCAUUUUGGACCGGUGUCCGAUGGAAGGGAAGUUAUGUUUCUCUGUCAGCUUGCCAAAUGUUUUCUAUCCUUCACUGCAAUCGUCAAAAACACGGAGUCUACUUAAAGAUCAUGAACAUUUUCAACAUUCGUCUGAAUAAACUGAAGGAACUGUAGCGUAAAUAUAUCUGCAAAGACAGAACAUUCUAACUUACUCACCGGAUUGGAUCGAGCUGUUUUGAAAUGUGAAACAAAUGAGUAACCUAUAAAUAUUUGUUUUAUUAGAAUUGGUUUAACCCCCCAGUUCCAUGGCCAGAUAUUAUGCCAAAUUAUUAGACG